rnacentral:misc_RNA from 1 species
GAUGAAGAACGCAGCGAAAUGCGAUACGUAAUGUGAAUUGCAGAUUUCAGUGAAUCAUCGAAUCUUUGAGCGCACAUUGCGCCCGCUAGUAUUCUGGCGGGCAUGCCUGUUCGAGCGUCAUUUCAACCAUCAAGCUCCCGGCUUGCGUUGGAGCCCUGCGGCUGCCGCAGGCUCCCAAAUGCAGUGGCGGGCUCGUCGUCGUACCGAGUGCAGUAAACAUCCUCGCUCAGGGAACGCGACGGGUUCUUGCCGUGAAACCCCCCCUAUAUUAAGGUUGACCUCGGAUCAGGUAGGAAUACCCGCUGAACUUAAGCAUAUCAAUAAGCGGAGGA